rnacentral:rRNA from 1 species
GACGAACGCUGGCGGCGUGGAUUAGGCAUGCAAGUCGAACGGUAUCAUCCUUUCGGGGGUGAGAGAGUGGCGAACUGGUGAGUAACACGUAGGUUAUCUACCCUCAAGACGGGGACAACCCAGGGAAACUUGGGCUAAUACCGGAUGUGAGCAACUUUUAGUUGUUUGAAAGGUGGCGUAAGCUGUCGCUUGGGGAUGAGCCUGCGUCCUAUUAGUUAGUUGGUGAGGUAACGGCUCACCUAGGCAAUGAUAGGUAGGCGGCCUUAACGGGUGGUCGCCCACACUGGGAUUGAGAUACGGCCCAGACUCCUACGGGAGGCAGCAGUCGAGAAUAGUCUACAAUGGUCGGAAGACUGAUAGUGCGACGCCGCGUGAACGAUGAAUCCCUUCGGGGUGUAAAGUUCUUUUAUAUGUGAGCAGUGCUUCUUAUAUUAACAGUAUGGGGAGAGAGAUAUUAGCAUAUGAAUAAGCAACGGCUAACUCCGUGCCAGCAGCCCGCGGU